rnacentral:rRNA from 1 species
GAUGAACGCUGGCGGCGUGCUUAACACAUGCAAGUCGAACGAAGAGGUUUUAAAGGAGAGGCUUCGGCUUUGAAUUUGAGACAUAUCUUAGUGGCGGACGGGUGAGUAACGCGUGGGCAACCUGCCCUUUACAGGGGAAUAAUCAUUGGAAACGAUGACUAAUACCGCAUGUCCCCGAGGCAAGGCAUCUUGCUUCGGAAAAAGGAUUUAAAUCCGGUAAAGGAUGGGCCCGCGUCUGAUUAGCUAGUUGGUGGGGUAACGGCCUACCAAGGCGACGAUCAGUAGCCGACCUGAGAGGGUGAUCGGCCACAUUGGGACUGAGACACGGCCCAAACUCC